rnacentral:lncRNA from 1 species
UGGGGACUCCAGCUGGGCUCCUGGUCAGGAUGUCCUCACCUCAGCGGGGGCCAAAGCGCCAGGACCACGUACCUAUGGACUGAAACCUCUGACACUGUGAGCUCCGGUAAAGCUUUUCCUCCUUUUGAUUUUUUUUUCCAGCCACUUUGUCACAGGGACAGAAAGCUGAUUGACACGCCAUGUGAUGAUCCUGACAGGUGCCCCUCGCCCAGCUGGGGACGACAGAUGAGAGCCCGGGAGCGCACCCGAGUCUUGGGGCACUCGGCCCCUGCUCAGCCGGCCUCCGGGCGUCAGCCUCCAGGAGGAGGCAGGCGUUCCCCGCGUCUCCUUUCCGAUCCUUCAACUCUGUUCAAAUCGUCUCACAGGGAAAUGGGGCCAGCUGGGAGUCUAUUCAGAGGGCUGGUCCCACGCGCUGAGACAUAGGAAACAGCCCACGUGGGUGACAGCAGCUGGGUGGCGAGCCCGGGCAGGCCUCCCUGCUCCCAGCCUCCCACCCUCCCAGCCUCCCACUUCUAGAAAUUUCACCUUGCUCCUUGCCCGCCCCCCAUCAGGGAGGGCACCUCUGAGCCAAUCCGCCAAUCACAGCACAGAAUCCACCGCCCAGAGAAGGCCACUCACCUGCUCCGCAGCGCCCAGCAGAGACAGGUCCCUGAGCUGCCAAAAGGCAGUGGUGGUUGUCUGUUGUCUCAGGGAUUCCGUGAAGCAACGCAGGCAAACUGCGGCCAUGUUACUGCCUCUAUUACUGUCAUCAUCAUCAUCGUCAUCAUCAUCAUCAAGGUAUUGUUUGUGGGAGACCAACCUUACACUGACUGAGUCACACUCACACUCCCCGGCUGGGUGCUGAGGCGCUCAGUCGCAGAAAUGUGGCAGAACUUUCCCCACCCUUCCUGGGUUCUAAGGUCGGUGUCUCGUGCAUGGGUGUGUCUUGCUACAGCCCAUGGGUGAAGCUACGCUCACCUGUUCCUUUGUAAUAUAACCCCUUGCCCUGUUUAGGAUAGAAUCUUCCAUGGAAGUGCCUUGUGUGUGUCCCCUCCUCUUACUGUGCUCUUGGGUGUGGCCUACCCAGGUGUCAGUCAACCUGCUGACAGUGGACAUCAUGAAGACAGACUCAGCCCCCUGAAACCUGACCCCUUGCCUCAUUUGAAGAGCUUCUCCUCAAUUAAAAGGGGUCAGCGUGCUCUCACUCUCUCUCUGCAGAUCUUUAAGGUCUGAGGAGGCGUCACAGUGACCCCAAACAAAAAGGUAU